rnacentral:rRNA from 1 species
GCCGAAUUCUUCCACAACAGAGUUUGAUCCUGGCUCAGAUUGAACGCUGGCGGCAGGCCUAUCUCAUCCCAGUCGAGCGGAUGAUGGGAGCUUGCUCCCGGAUUCAGCGGCGGACGGGUGAGUAAUGCCUAGGAAUCUGCCUGGUAGUGGGGGACAACGUUUCGAAAGGAACGCUAAUACCGCAUGCGUCCUACGGGAGAAAGCAGGGGACCUUCGGGCCUUGCGCUAUCAGAUGAGCCUAGGUCGGAUUAGCUAGUUGGUGGGGUAAAGGCCUACCAAGGCGACGAUCCGUAACUGGUCUGAGAGGAUGAUCAGUCACACUGGAACUGAGACACGGUCCAGACUCCUACGGGAGGCAGCAGUGGGGAAUAUUGGACAAUGGGCGAAAGCCUGAUCCAGCCAUGCCGCGUGUGUGAAGAAGGUCUUCGGAUUGUAAAGCACUUUAAGUUGGGAGGAAGGGCAGUAAGUUAAUACCUUGCUGUUUUGACGUUACCAACAGAAUAAGCACCGGCUAACUUCGUGCCAGCAGCCGCGGUAAUACGAAGGGUGCAAGCGUUAAUCGGAAUUACUGGGCGUAAAGCGCGCGUAGGUGGUUUGGUAAGAUGGAUGUGAAAUCCCCGGGCUCAACCUGGGAACUGCAUCCAUAACUGCCUGACUAGAGUACGGUAGAGGGUGGUGGAAUUUCCUGUGUAGCGGUGAAA